CCCCUUCAAGCCGGAAGCUGGGCUUCCGCCCGGGACUGAUGGGGCUCCUGCUCUCGUGGGCCAGGGAAGGCGGCUCCUGUCCGAGCCCCUCUCUGCAGGAGAGGUCCGUCUAGUCAAAGCUACGGUUUUUCCAGUAGUCAUGUAUGGAUGUGAGAGUUGGACUAUAAAGAAAACUGAACACUGAAGAAUUGAUGCUUUUGAAUUAUGGUAUUGGAGAAGACUCUUGACAGUAACUUGGACAGCAAGGCGAUCCAACCAGUCCAUCCUAAAGGAAAUCAGUCCUGAAUAGUCAUUGGAAGGACUGAUGCUGAAGUUGAAACUCCAAUACUUUGGCCACCUGAUGUGAAGAACUGACUCAUUUGAAAAGACCCUGAUGCUGGGAAAGAUUGAAGGCAAGAGGAGAAGGGGACAACAAAGGAUGAUAUGGUUGGAUGGCAUCACCAACUCAAUGGGAGUUGGUGAUGGACUGGGAAGUCUGGCAUGCUGCAGUCCAUGGGGUUGCAAAGAGUCGGACAUGACUGAGCAACUGAACUGAAUCUCAUCAAAAUAACGUAAUUUUAUAAAAUUGUAGGUACAUGC